GAUGAACGCUGGCGGCGUGCCUAAUACAUGCAAGUCGAGCGAACAGACGAGGAGCUUGCUCCUCUGACGUUAGCGGCGGACGGGUGAGUAACACGUGGAUAACCUACCUAUAAGACUGGGAUAACUUCGGGAAACCGGAGCUAAUACCGGAUAAUAUAUUGAACCUCAUGGUUCAAUAGUGAAAGACGGUUUUGCUGUCACUUAUAGAUGGAUCCGCGCCGCAUUAGCUAGUUGGUAAGGUAACGGCUUACCAAGGCAACGAUGCGUAGCCGACCUGAGAGGGUGAUCGGCCACACUGGAACUGAGACACGGUCCAGACUCCUACGGGAGGCAGCAGUAGGGAAUCUUCCGCAAUGGGCGAAAGCCUGACGGAGCAACGCCGCGUGAGUGAUGAAGGUCUUCGGAUCGUAAAACUCUGUUAUUAGGGAAGAACAAAUGUGUAAGUAACUAUGCACGUCUUGACGGUACCCAAUCAGAAAGCCACGGCUAACUACGUG
rnacentral:rRNA from 1 species